AAAUUCACAAAACCCUCCUUAAAGCCCAAAAAGAUCUCCGGUGAAAGGAGUCGGUUAGAGCACAACCCACCCAGAGUUGUACGGAUAUCAGUCACUGAUCCCGACGCCACCGACUCCUCCAGCGAUGAAGAGGGUGAGUUGUUUGGCCGCCAACGAGUGAAGCGGUAUGUGAAUGAGAUUAGCAUCGAAGCUAGCUCCAAAGACACUGUUGCCAUCGCUAAUGGGCGCAAAAGACCUGCAACUAAGCUUCCGGCGUCUCACCGGCCAAUCAAACUCAAUACA
rnacentral:misc_RNA from 1 species